rnacentral:lncRNA from 1 species
ACUCGCCACUCGCCACUCGCCUCCCGCCGCCGGGAAGUGACGCUCCACGCAGCCCAUUGGGCGCCGCCACAUCCCCCGGCCGCCCCUUCCGCCGCCCCAUUAAAGGGGCCCGAGGGCCCGCUGGAUGGGAAGGCCCGAGAGUGGGAUGCUACCCAAGGCCAGGUCUCCAAGACUCUCGCUUUGGUUCUUUUUGGCCUCUGAUCUUUUUUCAUAGGGUGGCUGGCUGUACAGAGGGAGUGCUACUGGCCCAAGAGAGAAAAGUACAUUGCAGACAGGAAAAACCAGAAAGUUGUAGCCAUCUAAGUCCUCUGACCCCAGACAUGGAGCUAAAGGAUUGAGAUCUAGCUCGGCUGGGUUUCGAUUUUGCUACAGUCCAGUACAUUCGUUCCUCCAGUUUCAGAAUGGUAAUAUAUAUUCCAUACCACUG